rnacentral:tRNA from 1 species
GUUGUCGUGGCCGAGUGGUUAAGGCAAUAGACUAGAAAUCUUUUGGGAUCUUCCCGCGCAGGUUCGAAUCCUGACGACAUUG